rnacentral:rRNA from 1 species
CGAAAGCCUGACGGAGCAACGCCGCGUGAGGGAUGAAGGCCUCUGGGCUGUAAACCUCUUUUCUCAAGGAAGAAGAUCUGACGGUACUUGAGGAAUAAGCCACGGCUAACUCCGUGCCAGCAGCCGCGGUAAUACGGGAGUGGCAAGCGUUAUCCGGAAUUAUUGGGCGUAAAGCGUCCGCAGGCGGCCUAUCAAGUCUGUCGUUAAAGCGUGGAGCUUAACUCCAUUUGAGCGAUGGAAACUGAAAGGCUAGAGUGUGGUAGGGGCAGAGGGAAUUCCCGGUGUAGCGGUGAAAUGCGUAGAUAUCGGGAAGAACACCAGUGGCGAAGGCGCUCUGCUGGGCCAUAACUGACGCUCAUGGACGAAAGCCAGGGGAGCG